rnacentral:rRNA from 1 species
GAUGAACGCUGGCGGCGUGCUUAACACAUGCAAGUCGAACGUGAGGGUGUAGCAAUAUGCCUGAAAGUGGCGAACGGGUGAGUAACACGUAGGUGACCUGCCUUGGAGUGGGGGAUAACGGCUGGAAACGGCUGCUAAUACCGCAUAGGGUGAGUGGUAUGGGAAUACUGCUCGUGAAAAUUAAGGUGCUUCAAGAGGGGCCUGCGUCCGAUUAGCUAGUUGGUGGGGUAAGAGCCUACCAAGGCGAUGAUCGGUAGCUGGUCUGAGAGGACGAUCAGCCACACGGGAACUGAGAAACGGUCCCGACUCCUACGGGGGGGCAGCAGUGAGGAAUAUUGGGCAAUGGGCGGAAGCCUGACCCAGCAACGCCGCGUGGAGGAAGACGGCCUUCGGGUUGUAAACUCCUUUUACGGGGAAGAGGAAGGACGGUACCCGAGAAUAAGUCACGGCUAACUACGUGCCAGCAGCCGCGGU